rnacentral:rRNA from 1 species
GUAACAAGGUCUCCGUUGGUGAACCAGCGGAGGGAUCAUUACUGAGUUACCGCUCUAUAACCCUUUGUGAACAUACCUACAACUGUUGCUUCGGCGGGUAGGCCGUCCCCUGAAAAGGACGCCUCCCGGCCCGGACCGGACCCCCCGUGGGGCCGGACUCGGCGCCCGCCGGAGGAUAACCAAACGCUAUUUUAACGACGUUUCUUCUGAGUGGCAUAAGCAAAAUAAUCAAAACUUUUAACAACGGAUCUCUUGGUUCUGGCAUCGAUGAAGAACGCAGCGAAAUGCGAUAAGUAAUGUGAAUUGCAGAAUUCAGUGAAUCAUCGAAUCUUUGAACGCACAUUGCGCCCGCCAGCAUUCUGGCGGGCAUGCCUGUUCGAGCGUCAUUUCAACCCUCAAGCUCUGCUUGGUGUUGGGGCUCUACGGUCGACGUAGGCCCUCAAAGGUAGUGGCGGACCCUCCCGGAGCCUCCUUUGCGUAGUAACAUUUCGUCUCGCACUGGGAUCCGGAGGGACUCUUGCCGUAAAACCCCCCAAUUUUCAAGGUGACCUCGGAUCAGUAG